UCCACCCCCACCUUCUUCUCUGGCUCCCCACUCAACAGAGCCAACCAAUACAGAGCAAGGAUCUAACACCUCCAAUGCCAAGCUAAACCCCGGGAAGGGGCUGCAGAGACUGGGACACCUGCUCUAGUCCCUCAGGAGACAGAUUUGUACAAGCUGAAUGUAUACUGCCUAAUAGUAUGGGACAGCCAAGCCAGGGCAGGAAAAGGAUCUUUACUGAAGACCAAAUAUGUAAUGUGGCACAUCGAGGAGAAAAUCUGGUGGGAGAAUGAACGGAAUUAAAUGAUUGGAUCCCUCCUCUCAUCUUCUGUAUCAAGCCUUACCCAAGUGGUGCAAUACUAAUGACUGAGGACCAACCACCUUUCAACUCUGUACUCCUACCCCCUGUCAUUCUUUUUUUUUUUUUGCCUGGGGAAAGGCAUUUAGUAUCAAGACAUAAAUAUAAUUACUU